rnacentral:rRNA from 1 species
AGGAAUAUUGGUCAAUGGACGAGAGUCUGAACCAGCCAAGUAGCGUGAAGGAUGAAGGUUCUAUGGAUUGUAAACUUCUUUUAUACGGGAAUAAACGGAUCCACGUGUGGAUUUUUGCAUGUACCGUAUGAAUAAGGAUCGGCUAACUCCGUGCCAGCAGCCGCGGUAAUACGGAGGAUCCGAGCGUUAUCCGGAUUUAUUGGGUUUAAAGGGAGCGUAGAUGGGUUGUUAAGUCAGUUGUGAAAGUUUGCGGCUCAACCGUAAAAUUGCAAUUGAUACUGGCAGUCUUGAGUACAGUUGAGGUAGGCGGAAUUCGUGGUGUAGCGGUGAAAUGCUUAGAUAUCACGAAGAACUCCGAUUGCGAAGGCAGCUUACUAACCUGUAACUGACAUUGAUGCUCGAAAGUGUGGGUAUCAAACAGGAUUAGAUACCCUGGUAGUCCACACGGUAAACGAUGAAUACUCGCUGUAGGCGAUAUACGGUCUGCGGCCAAGCGAAAGCAUUAAGUAUUCCACCUGGGGAGUACGCCGGCAACGGUGAAACUCAAAGGAAUUGACGGGGGCCCGCACAAGCGGAGGAACAUGUGGUUUAAUUCGAUGAUACGCGAGGAACCUUACCCGGGCUUAAAUUGCAACCGAAUAUGGCGGAAACGCUAUAGCUAGCAAUAGCGGUUGUGAAGGUGCUGCAUGGUUGUCGUCAGCUCGUGCCGUGAGGUGUCGGCUUAAGUGCCAUAACGAGCGCAACCCUUGCCGAUAGUUACUAACAGGUUAUGCUGAGGACUCUGUCGGGACUGCCAUCGUAAGAUGUGAGGAAGGUGGGGAUGACGUCAAAUCAGCACGGCCCUUACACCCGGGGCGACACACGUGUUACAAUGGCCGGUACAGAGGGCAGCCACGGGGUGACCCGGAGCGAAUCUCUAAAGCCGGUCGUAGUUCGGACUGGAGUCUGCAACCCGACUCCACGAAGUUGGAUUCGCUAGUAAUCGCGCAUCAGCCAUGGCGCGGUGAAUACGUUCCCG